AUAAAGAAUUUUCUAAAAUUCACCCAUUUUGUCAAAAAUUUAAUUU
rfam:Capsicum annuum cultivar Zunla-1 chromosome 9, whole genome shotgun sequence